CGAAGGGGGGAAGAUGGACUAGUCUAGGACUGUUGCUGGCUCAUUUGCAUGUGCACGUCUUUGCUAUCCCUGUCAACCUUUCUUCAAUAUUAUACACACACUUGUGCACUUAUUGUAGGUCCUCACAAGAGGAUCUAUGUUUUUCACAUCACAUCACCAUCGUAUGUCUAUAGAAUGUUAUCAAAGACCUUCCAUCGAAUCAGGCUUGUGCCUGGUUGGGCUGGUCGAUGAAAAAUCCAUAUACAACUUUCAGCAACGGAUCUCUUGGCUCUCGCAUCGAUGAAGAACGCAGCGAAUUGCGAUAAGUAAUGUGAAUUGCAGAUUUCCAGUGAAUCAUCGAAUCUUUGAACGCACCUUGCGCUCCUUGGUAUUCCGAAGAGCAUGCCUGUUUGAGUGUCAUUUAAUUCUCAACCAUGUCUUGAUUGACUUGGCUUGGAGUCUGGGGGUUGCUGGCAGACGUCAGCUCUCUUGAAAUACAUUAGCAAUCAUGCUAGUCUAUUGGCGUGCACGGCCUUUUGACGUGAUAAUGAUCGUCGUGGGCUGGAGCGACUGAUUAACUAGAUUGCUUCUAAUGGAAUAACUUGCUUUAGUUACUAGCUGGUCGCAAGACCUGGCGAACACAAAGUGGGUGUCAUUUUUU
rnacentral:rRNA from 1 species